GACGAACGCUGGCGGCGUGCUUAACACAUGCAAGUCGAACGGUAAGGCCCUUCGGGGUACACGAGUGGCGAACGGGUGAGUAACACGUGGGUGAUCCGCCCUGCACUUCGGGAUAAGCCUGGGAAACUGGGUCUAAUACCGGAUAGGACCACUGCCUGCAUGGGUGGUGGUGGAAAGCUUUUGCGGUGUGGGAUGGGCCCGCGGCCUAUCAGCUUGUUGGUGGGGUGAUGGCCUACCAAGGCGACGACGGGUAGCCGGCCUGAGAGGGUGACCGGCCACACUGGGACUGAGAUACGGCCCAGACUCCGACGGGAGGCAGCAGUGGGGAAUAUUGCACAAUGGGCGCAAGCCUGAUGCAGCGACGCCGCGUGAGGGAUGACGGCCUUCGGGUUGUAAACCUCUUUCAGCACCGACGAAGCGCAAGUGACGGUAGGUGCAGAAGAAGGACCGGCCAACUACGUGCCAGCCGCCGCUGUAA
rnacentral:rRNA from 1 species